rnacentral:snoRNA from 1 species
GCAUGGGUUUGGAUUGAUGGCAGGCCCGACCCCAUGGGCCUCUCAUAGUGUCCCGUUCCAGAGCGAACUGUAACCCUGAACCAUCGCCUGACUCUGUCCCAAAAAGUGUACAAAUGU